rnacentral:rRNA from 1 species
AUGAACGCUGGCGGCGUGCCUAAUACAUGCAAGUCGAGCGAACAGACGAGGAGCUUGCUCCUCUGACGUUACCGGCGGCCGGGUGAGUAACACGUGGAUAACCUACCUAUAAGACUGGGGUAACUUCGGGAAACCGGAGCUCAUACCCGAUAAUAUAUUGAACCGCCUGGUUCAAUAGUGUAAGACGGUUUUGCUUUCACUUAUAUAUGGAUCCGCGCCGCAUUAGCUAGUUGGUAAGGUAACGGCUUACCAAGGCAACGAUGCGUAGCCGACCUGAGAGGGUGAUCGGCCACACUGGAACUGAGACACGGUCCAGACUCCUACGGGAGGCAGCAGUAGGGAAUCUUCCGCAAUGGGCGAAAGCUUGACGGAGCAACGCCGCGUGAGUGAUGAAGGUCUUCGGAUCGUAAAACUCUGUUAUUAGGGAAGAACAAAUGUGUAAGUAACUAUGCACGUCUUGACGGUACCUAAUCAGAAAGCCACGGCUAACUACGUG